AUUGAACGCUGGCGGCAGGCCUAACACAUGCAAGUCGAACGGCAGCACAGAAGAGCUUGCUCUUUGGGUGGCGAGUGGCGGACGGGUGAGUAAUGUCUGGGAAACUGCCCGAUGGAGGGGGAUAACUACUGGAAACGGUAGCUAAUACCGCAUAACGUCGCAAGACCAAAGUGGGGGACCUUCGGGCCUCACACCAUCGGAUGUGCCCAGAUGGGAUUAGCUAGUAGGUGGGGUAAUGGCUCACCUAGGCGACGAUCCCUAGCUGGUCUGAGAGGAUGACCAGCCACACUGGAACUGAGACACGGUCCAGACGCCUACGGGAGGCAGCAGUGGGGAAUAUUGCACAAUGGGCGCAAGCCUGAUGCAGCCAUGCCGCGUGUAUGAAGAAGGCCUUCGGGUUGUAAAGUACUUUCAGCGGGGAGGAAGGCGGUGAGGUUAAUAACCUUGCCGAUUGACGUUACCCGCAGAAGAAGCACCGGCUAACUCCGUGCCAGCAGCCGCAGUAA
rnacentral:rRNA from 1 species